UUUUUUUUUUUUGGUAUUUCAUCACCUUAUUCACUACCUCAUCCAUAAAAUUUCCUUUCCGUCUUGCAUCUAAUGUUGCUAAUCAUGCUUAAAAACAUGGAAGGUGAUUUUUGCAUGUGAUUCUUUGAGAGAAAGAACCUUAUUUAUUUAGUUUUUCAAUUUUUAUAUGUGUUUGGCUAGUUUUAGUAAGUUUAUGACUAAUGACUAGAGGUUAAUAAGUUGAGACUUAUUUGAAACAUUUGUGUAAGUUUCCCUAAAUUUAAUACUAUCAUAAUGACUAUCCUUAACAAAUACAGUCUCGAACGCUAGAAAAUUUUUUUAAAAAAACAUGCGUUUUGCUUUUAGAUUCAUCCAUCAUUGCUUGCAGAAAUGCAUGAUUAUUUUUAAACUCAAUUCAACAUUGCCUGGAAUUUUCAAUCAACAAAUUUGAGCUACUGGUGAUCAAAAUCAUGGAUUAAGCAUUUCUAAACUUCAAAAAAUACCUCGCAAGCCAUGAUCAGGUUAUUAUUCAACUGAAAAAACACUAAAGGAAUCCUAGGUCAAGUGACAAUAAAUUCAGUUCUAGUACAAGAGAUUCACACAAUUAGCUAUCAAUUUGAUUGAACUGUAAAUCAGCAAAUAUAAUUCUCCGUGUAACCAGCAAUUUCAAAUUAAGUGAUAGCUUAUACGAGCAGUUUAACAGCUGUGAUGAUCCGAUAGGUUAUUUAUAGUUUUAACCCUUUAUUCUCUCUUUUGAAACCUUGAAUAGCUACGUUUAGCCUUUCUCGAUUGUCACACCUCUUUUUUACCAAACUUCACUAUACCCUCUUAAAUAAAUAAAUAAAUAAAAUUUAGCAAAGCUCGAAAGGGUUUUUCAAUCUUGAAAGUGACAAAGGAUAGUGUUCAAAAGGAAAUAACUCAGAAUCGCCACCUAGCAUUAUUUUUUUGGUGUGCCAGGUCACCAUUUUUUAGAAAAUAUUUUUCCUUUUAAAAACACUUGGACUCAAAACUAAGUCUGCACCAGAGAUUCGGGUAAGGGGGUUCAUUUGACUCGGGGAGAAGGUGUUAAGCACCCCCCAGGUCCCGUGAAGGUCACGGUUGCGCACUCGAUCUAGUUGGCUUUUAGAAUAUUCAAGUUGGUGUAAAAAUAACACAGAAAAGAAAAAAAAAUAAACACACAAAAGGCUCGAGGUCGUCCCUACCUAAUAAAAGAAAAUGAAAAGGAAAAGGAAAGAAAAGUCCUAAGCUAACCUAUACUACGACUUCUCCACCAUGCUCAUCAAGGCCUCCAAAAUAUUUACAUAGUUCUUCACGGUAUACCCCGGAUAAUAAUAUUUACAAACUUCAUGGGGCAUUCCCCGGAUAAAUUUAAUUAAGGAACAACCUCUCACCUUAAAACUAACAAAUAUUCUAAGGCUUGCCUACCCAAAUGUGGUCAGCCUAAGCAUGCUCCUAGCGAGUACUAACAUCGAUAAAGAAGAUAAAAGGAACUAUAAAAGAACUAAGUAAAGGAACACAUCAACUCAUGCCCAUGUCUUGUUUUUUAACUUUUAUUUUUAUUAGACCGGGCCCGACGCCAAAAGCAUGGAGACAAAUCAAUUGCUAAUGGGCAUCGGUCUUUUCCCACUCCCCCGCGACCCAACAAUCAUACAAAAUGCCAAUCAAGUAAGGGAGAACGAAUUCCAAAUCACACAAGGAAAAGAGCAUAUGGAAUGACAACGAAAUAAAGGCAUGGUGGAUUAAAAUAUUAUAAGGGACAUAUAAAUCUAGCCAACCCGCCUCACUUUUUCACUUUUCUGUAUGUUGUUAUAUCACAACAUGAAUGAGCAGUGGCUUAAACAUUCAAGUUGGUCACCUUAGAGUUAGAAAACAAAGACAUCCUUAACCAAAUAGUAACGACAGAUGUUGCAGGAAUACUAAGUGAUGCUCACACCAAACAAUAUGUCAUUUUCAUAAUUAACUUAACAUUUUCGAACCAAGCAGGGUGCAAACCAAUCUUAGAAGCCUUUAACAAAAAUGUCUUGAACCUAACCAUGUGGAUAUUGUGAGAUUAACAGAAGCAUACAAGCCAAAAAAACAUGUCAAUUCGGUCACUGUUAGUUCAAACUUCCAUGCUUAACUUCACAAGGAUUAACGUUUUCCUUUAUCACUUAAGCGCAGGGAGAUCAAGGCACACAAACAGAACAUCAAUUUCAGUUCUUAAUGUGCAAUCAAGUUAGCAAAUGCCAUAACUCCCAUUCAGAUGUAACAAUCAGUCAAGCCCAAAACUAUCAUAAAUUCGAUCUGUUUACCCGUAACGAAGUAGUUCAAAAACUCAAUUGAAGAUCAGAUUUGAAAAUGUGGAAAAGAUAGCGAUGAGAACACAUAUUAAACUCAUGCACAAGCUGAACAAUCCACCAGAAAGCAAUUAAAUCAAAAACAACCAGCCACAAUCACUACGAAUCCAUAUUAAUAAUUUCUGAGGAUCGAUUCAAAAUAAGAAAGUCAAGGCGAAUAGGGAAUGAACCUGUUGGGGCGAAUUUUUCUUAAAUAACAGCAGGAGAUUCAGUGAUAAUUCAACUUCAAUUUCCAGAAUUCAAACGAGAUACAACUUCAAAAUUGGAAAGAAACCUCGAACAAGAACUCGAAACGGCACUGGAAUUUCGAAUCCGAACACGAACUCCAACUCGUACUUCAAUCCAUUUGUAUGUUGUAGUCGAGAUUGAAAUCGAGGGAAGCAGCAGAAAUUUUCUUUUUUUCUUUUCUUAAUAUGUAUGAAAACGAAAACGGAAAUCCAAAGAAGAAUCUGGAAGUCCCAAAAUUAAACCCUAGAACCCUUUCCUUCCGAUUUUUCUCUAAAUUUUUCCCCUAUCUUUUCUGUUCACCCCCCAAAAUCUGAGAAACCACCCCAAUAUAUAGGGGGUCUCGAACCAUCUAUGCUUCCUCGCCAAGAAAUCGAUUUUUAUCUCCAAAUCCGAAAAAAGAACUCCAAAAUUCCGAAAAUCUCCUUAUUUUCGGUAAAAAUCUGGGCAGAUGGAGGGUAUGAUUAAUUUUCAUUAAUCAUAUCCUACCCUUC
rnacentral:lncRNA from 1 species